CGCUCCUCCUUUUUUAAUGUUUUUCCCUGGUGAUCCGGUGUCUGAAUUACUGUGGAUCCAGUUGUCUGCUCAGACCGCAAGCGGCUUGGUUCUAAAGGGAUUCAAGCAUCUUCUGCAUGGAAUUCAGGGCAUGACAACAUGCAUCGCUUGUCGUUUCAGUGCAUGUGUUGCGAAUCACACAGAAUGAUGGAGGACCAACAGCUCCCUGGAUAAACCCUGCAGACCAAAACAACAUCACAACUCAAAUCAUGCACUUAAGGUGGGUGGAAAGAUGUAGCUGAGGAUCAAACGGAAACCAAUCUUGACCUCUCACGAACUCAGGUCAUCCCUGAAAGGGGUGUGGCCUGUGGAGUACCGCCCAACAUGUCCAAGAAACCCCCCAGUGGGCGGCCCAAAGGGGAACGGCCUGAUGCCAUGGCAGCACUGCAGGCAGCCAAUGAGGAGCUGAGGGCCAAGCUCACUGAAAUCCAAAUAGAACUUCAGCAAGAGAAAACCAAGGUCAGUAAGCUGGAAAGGGAGAA